GGGAGCUUGCUCCCAUUUCUCAGCGGCGGACGGGUGAGUAACACGUGGGCAACCUGCCCUACAGACUGGGAUAACUCCGGGAAACCGGAGCUAAUACCGGGUAAUACAUAGCAUCGCAUGAUGCAACGUUGAAAGUUGGCCUUUGGCUAACACUGUAGGAUGGGCCCGCGGCGCAUUAGCUAGUUGGUAAGGUAACGGCUUACCAAGGCCACGAUGCGUAGCCGACCUGAGAGGGUGAUCGGCCACACUGGGACUGAGACACGGCCCAGACUCCUACGGGAGGCAGCAGUAGGGAAUCUUCCGCAAUGGACGAAAGUCUGACGGAGCAACGCCGCGUGAGUGACGAAGGCCUUCGGGUCGUAAAGCUCUGUUGUUA
rnacentral:rRNA from 1 species